rnacentral:piRNA from 1 species
UGCCAACAAUCGCUGAAAGCAUCGGUGCAGA